UCGCCACAACAAGAUUCAAUAAAAUUUUUCAAGGUCUGAAGUUCUUUGACCUGCUUCUCCAAUUCCUUAAUCUUGCACGUCUUUCUUUCCAAUUGUUGAAACAAGUUGUCAGCCCUGGAUUUUUCUUCCCCGGCUUGCUUCAUGCUUUCUUCAGCUUGCGUCCUUGAAGCCUGUGCUUUAGACAUUUCAGAAUCUGCACGCUCUCUCUCUUUGAAAGUCCUCUGCUUUUCUAUCUCUAG
rnacentral:misc_RNA from 1 species